AGCACUUGUGUGUUUGUUCAACUGAUGGGCAAAGACUUAAAGACAGGUGCAAAAGUAAAUCCUCUUUUGCAACCUGGAGCUCUUUUUUUAGUAUGAGUUUUGAAAUAUUUUUUUUCAUUUAUU